CGCGUAGGCGGUCAGCACAAGUCAGUUGUGAAAUCUCCGAGCUUAACUCGGAAAGGUCAACUGAUACUGUGCGACUAGAGUGCAGAAGGGGCAACUGGAAUUCUCGGUGUAGCGGUGAAAUGCGUAGAUAUCGAGAGGAACACCUGCGGCGAAGGCGGGUUGCUGGGCUGACACUGACGCUGAGGCGCGAAAGCUAGGGGAGCGAACG
rnacentral:rRNA from 1 species